rnacentral:rRNA from 1 species
UAUGAACGCUGGCGGCGUGCCUAAUACAUGCAAGUCGAGCGAACGGACGAGAAGCUUGCUUCUCUGAUGUUAGCGGCGGACGGGUGAGUAACACGUGGAUAACCUACCUAUAAGACUGGGAUAACUUCGGGAAACCGGAGCUAAUACCGGAUAAUAUUUUGAACCGCAUGGUUCAAAAGUGAAAGACGGUCUUGCUGUCACUUAUAGAUGGAUCCGCGCUGCAUUAGCUAGUUGGUGAGGUAACGGCCCACCAAGGCGACGAUCGGUAGCCGGACUGAGAGGUUGAACGGCCACAUUGGGACUGAGACACGGCCCAG